UACAGAGGGGGCAAGCGUUAUUCGGAAUUAUUGGGCGUAAAGGGCGCGUAGGCGGCCUGGCAAGUGACGGGUGAAGGCCCUCGGCUCAACCGAGGAACUGCCUGUCAUACUGCCGGGCUUGAGUCCGGGAGAGGUGAGUGGAAUUCCCAGUGUAGCGGUGAAAUGCGUAGAUAUUGGGAGGAACACCAGUGGCGAAGGCGGCUCACUGGACCGGAACUGACGCUGAGGCGCGAAAGCGUGGGGAGCAAACAGG
rnacentral:rRNA from 1 species